rnacentral:rRNA from 1 species
AGAGCGAACGCUGGCGGCAGGCCUAAUACAUGCAAGUCGAACGGAUCCUUCGGGAUUAGUGGCGGACGGGUGAGUAACACGUGGGAACGUGCCUUUUGGUUCGGAACAACUCAGGGAAACUUGAGCUAAUACCGGAUGUGCCCUUCGGGGGAAAGAUUUAUCGCCAUUAGAGCGGCCCGCGUCUGAUUAGCUAGUUGGUGAGGUAAAGGCUCACCAAGGCGACGAUCAGUAGCUGGUCUGAGAGGAUGAUCAGCCACACUGGGACUGAGACACGGCCCAGACUCCUACGGGAGGCAGCAGUGGGGAAUAUUGGACAAUGGGCGCAAGCCUGAUCCAGCAAUGCCGCGUGAGUGAUGAAGGCCCUAGGGUUGUAAAGCUCUUUUGUGCGGGUAAGAUAAUGACGGUACCGCAAGAAUAAGCCCCGGCUAACUUCGUGCCAGCAGCCGC